rnacentral:tRNA from 1 species
UGGGGAUUAGCCAAGCGGUUAAGGCAACGGACUUUGACUCCGUGACUCAUAGGUUCAAAUCCUAUAUCCCCAGCCA